rnacentral:rRNA from 1 species
ACACAGCUCUCUGCUAACUCGCAAGAGGAUGUAUAGGGAGUGACACGUGACCAAUGCCGAAAGGUCAAAUGGAUCCGUCAGCAGCAAUGCGAAGCGGUGAUAUGAAGCCCCGGUGAAUGUCGGCCGUAACUAUAACGGUCCUAAGGUAGCGAAAUUCCUUGUCGGGUAAGUUCCGACCUGCACGAAUCGUGUAACGAUCGCGGCACUGUCUCGAAGUGGAGCUCGGCGAAGUUGUAAUUCCGGUGAAAAUGCCGGAUACCUGCAGUAGGACGGAAAGACCCUGUGAACCUUUACUGUAAUCUGAUAUUGGUAUUCGUGUGUUCAUGUGUAGUAUAGGUGGGAGGCUUUGAAGCCGCCGCGCCAGCGGUGGUGGAGUCAUCAGUGAAAUACCACCCUUGAUAACUUGAAUAUCUAACUGAAGCCCGUGAAUCCGGGAUUGGGACAGUGUCAGAGGGUCAGUUUGACUGGGGCGGUUUCCUCCAAAACGGUAACGGAGGAGCACGAAGGUACACUCAGCACGGUUGGCAAUCGUGCACAGAGCGCAAGGGUAGAAGUGUGCUUAACUGUGAGACAAACAUGUCGAACAGAUACGAAAGUAGGUCCUAGUGAUCCAGCGAUGGAACGUGGAAUCGUCGUUGCUCAACGGACAAAAGGUACUCCGGGGAUAACAGGCUGAUAGCGCCCAAGCGUCCAUAGCGACGGCGCUGUUUGGCACCUCGAUGUCGGCUCAUCUCAUCCUGGGGCUGUAGAAGGUCCCAAGGGUCCGGCUGUUCGCCGGUUAAAGAGGUACGCGAGCUGGGUUCAAAACGUCGCAAGACAGUUUGGUCCUUAUCCACUGCAGGCGCAGGACAUUUGAUGAGAGCAUUCCUUAGUACGAGAGGACCGGGAAUGACCGACCGCUGGUAUUCCAAUUGUCUCUAAAGAGGCAGCGUUGGGUAGCUAUGUCGGGAAAGGAUAAGCGCUGAAAGCAUCUAAGCGCCAAGCCCCCUCAAAGAUGAUAUGUCCCGGACCGUAAGGUCCCUGAAGGCGGGUCGUAGACUACGACCUUGAUAGGAUAGAAGUGUAAGAACAGCAAUGUUUUCAGCUUACUAUUACUAAUACGCCGUGAGGCUUGACCAC